GGACUGAGAAGUAAUUUGUAUGAUAAGCUCAGCAGACUGUCAGUUUCACCAGGUAUUCGCUAAUUGCUGCCGCCGCUAGUCUGAAGGGACUGAAUGCACUCUCCUCAGUUGC